GGAUUAAACACCCUAAGAGUAGACCACCUAAGAAAGUCAGGACAAUGGAUGAGCUAUUUCCUCCUACACCAAAACUAGCUAACUUCAGCCAUGCAAUGGAUAGUUUCUGAUGAACCCCCUGCUCCAAAAGUGGAUGUUCCAUGUGUAGAGUAUCUCCUGUUAACAGAAGGUUACACAAGUGCGACCAAUAAAGUGCAGUGGCUUAAGACAAACCUGAGUGUAUCAAAGCAGCAGAUAGAACAAGUGGCACAAAUUACAUCUGGUCAACGAACAAAUCAUCUCUGGGCUUUGGUUAAAAAAAAUCGAUUAACUGCAUAAAAUUUUGGUGUAGUACUGUCUGCGAUAAGAAGACAGAGAUUCCCACCAUCAUUAUAUAAGCAAAUCUUUGCCUCAUACAAUCUGUCGACAAAGGAUGCCAUAUUGUGGGGCAUCAGCAAUGAGUCUACUGCUAGGACAAAAUCUGUUCAUUUGGAGAUGCUAUUGUAGAGGAAACUUGUGUAUGGCUACAUGAGAGUGGCAUAUUAGGAGCCAGCCCCUAUGGAAUUAUUCGUCGUGCAGCCACACACAAUUACAACUACCAAGAUGUAGAAUUAACAGACCUACUUGAGUGCAUGGCUGUAAAACCAGAAGUUUUGGAGGUAAAAUGCCCAUUCAGUGCAAGGAACAUGACAAUUCCCGAGGCCAUAGAAUCAGUCAAAGACUUUUGCUUGUGUUACCAAAUAUAUGAAGGAAGGAAGUUCUACAAACUAAAGGAGGACCACAGAUAUUAUGACCAGGUGCAGGGACAGCUGCACAUACUUAACAGGUCAUCGUGUGACUUUGUAGUGUGGACUACUAAAGAUAUAGCUAUCGUGAGAAUUCUUCAAGACAGCACCUGGACCCUAAAUAUGUCAAAACUCAUCGAUUUUUACUU